rnacentral:rRNA from 1 species
UACAGAGGGUGCGAGCGUUGUUCGGAAUUAUUGGGCGUAAAGGGCGCGUAGGCGGUGCGGUAAGUCACCUGUGAAAUCUCCUGGCUCAACUGGGAGCUUGCAGGCGAAACUGCCGUGCUGGAGUGUGGGAGAGGUGCGUGGAAUUCCUGGUGUAGCGGUGAAAUGCGUAGAGAUCAGGAGGAACACCUGUGGCGAAAGCGGCGCACUGGACCACAACUGACGCUGAGGCGCGAAAGCUAGGGGAGCAAACAGG